rnacentral:rRNA from 1 species
AUUCCAGCUCCAAUAGCGUAUAUUAAAGUUGUUGCAGUUAAAAAGCCCGUAGUUGGAUUUCUGGUGGGAAUUGAUGAGUCGGCGCUUAGCGUGUGAACUUAUUCGAUUCCCGCCAUCCUAGAGAAAAAUCUUGUUGGCAUUUAGUUGUCGACUUGGUGAUUCUCUUCGUUUACUGUGAAAAAAUUAGAGUGUUCAAAGCAGGCUUAUGCCAUUGAAUAGUCCAGCAUGGAAUAAUAAGAUAGGACCUUGGUACUAUUUUGUUGGUUUGCGCACCAAGGUAAUGAUUAAUAGGGACAGUUGGGGGUAUUCGUAUUUUAUGGCCAGAGGUGAAAUUCUUGGACUCAUGAAAGACGAACUAAUGCGAAAGCAUCUACCAAGGAUGUUUUCAUCA